rnacentral:tRNA from 1 species
GGCGACGUGGCCGAGUGGUUCAGGCAAGGGCCUGCAAAGCCCUGUACAGGGGUUCGAUUCCCCUCGUCGCCUCCA